rnacentral:rRNA from 1 species
AGUGAACGCUGGCGGUAGGCCUAACACAUGCAAGUCGAACGGCAGCACAGUAAGAGCUUGCUCUUACGGGUGGCGAGUGGCGGACGGGUGAGGAAUACAUCGGAAUCUACUUUUUUCGUGGGGGAUAACGUAGGGAAACUUACGCUAAUACCGCAUACGACCUACGGGUGAAAGCAGGGGAUCUUCGGACCUUGCGCGAUUGAAUGAGCCGAUGUCGGAUUAGCUAGUUGGCGGGGUAAAGGCCCACCAAGGCGACGAUCCGUAGCUGGUCUGAGAGGAUGAUCAGCCACACUGGAACUGAGACACGGUCCAGACUCCUACGGGAGGCAGCAGUGGGGAAUAUUGGACAAUGGGCGCAAGCCUGAUCCAGCCAUACCGCGUGGGUGAAGAAGGCCUUCGGGUUGUAAAGCCCUUUUGUUGGGAAAGAAAAGCAGCAGGUUAAUACCCCGCUGUUCUGACGGUACCCAAAGAAUAAGCACCGGCUAACUUCG